CUCUCCUCAACAGCUCGGAGAGAAUCACACAGUGAAAAACAGGAAACCAGUGUACGUCACAUCCAGUCUCCCUUUCCCGUGAGAAACUCCAACAGUACAGACUGUGGAAUGUAAACACCUGUCUCAUGACAAGUAGAUGCUGCUCAGUGAAGGAAAUAGAAACCAACAUCCUCCCCCUUUCUGUGAACAUCACUGGGCAGCGUGUUCGUACAGUAUCAGUACAAACCCAACUUCUGCACAUAGGUACAGUGUUGAUCCCUUGAUACAAUCUUGGACAAUACAUCAGCAGGAAUUUCAUUACCUGGCAUAUAGGACACCGUUACGAGUCCCUUCUGAAUACAUUCCCUAGCAUGCUGCAACUUUAAUUGCAAGUGCUUUGUGCUUUGCUUACAACUUUCAGACUUCAGCAAAGCCAAACAUGCUUUGUUGUCCUGGUAAACCUGGAUUGGACAUUUGACAGGAAUUUUCAUAUCUUUGCACAAUUGUACUAACCAUUCACAAUCCUUAAGUGAAUAAGACAGUGCAUUCAGUUUAGCUUCACAAGUACUUAAGCUAACUGUUGUUUGCUUCUUGCAUGACCAAUCAAACAGACUCUGAUUGUACAUGUAGCAAACUCCAGACGUACUUUUCCUGUCUGUAGUGUCACUUCCAAAACUUGCAUCUGCAAAUAUCUCAAGACCACCAGACUUCUGAUUGUUAAAUCUCAGUCUGUAAUGCAUAGUGCCUUUCAAAUACCGCGCUAUGCGUUUCAGAGCUUUCCAAUCCUUGACACUAGGAUUGUUGACUUGUCUGCUUAGCAAAUUACAGCUAACAGCAAUGUCUGGUCUUGAACAUCUGGCAAUGAAGUUUAGCUUGCCUAGCACACUCCUGUACAGUGUGGUGUCAGAAAAUGCUUCUUCAGUGUCAUCUACCUGAUAACCUGUUGUCAUCGGUGUGUCUACAGGGUUAGCAUCCAUCAGAUUUAGUUUGCUUAACACAUCAGCAAUUUUCCGUGACUGGUGUACUAGAAUGUUACCAUCUUGAUCUCUCUCUAUUUCCAGAGAUAGGUAGUUGUUUACCUCACCAAGAUCUUUCAUGUCAAAGUGCUCUUUCAGUUGAGCUAGGGCGUUAUUGUACAUUGCGACAUCUUUCCAAAAGAAUAAUAAAUCAUCAACAUAAAACAAACAGUACAGUUUCUUUUGCCCCUCCUCUUUGACAAAUACACAUGGAUCAGCUUUCCCUUGCUGAAAACCUAGAGAAAACAAUACUUCAGUGAGUUUUGUGUGCCAACACCGUGCACUUUGUUUGAGACCAUAAAGGGAUUUCUUCAGAGCACAAACAAAUCCCUGUUUUACCUGUACGCCAUCAGGUGGAAGCAUAUAAAGUGAUUCAUCUAGAGAUCCGUACAGAAAAGCUGUAUUAAUAUCAUGGUGACUAAUGUGUAGAUUUUCCUCUGCAGCUAGCUUGAGCAUAAGCCUAAUGCUUUCAUAUCUCACUGUGGGUGAAUAGGUCUCGUGAUAGUCUUCACCUGGUACCUGUGCAAAACCUCUGGCUACCAAUCUGGCUUUGUGUCUGACUAUCUUGCCAUUUUGAUCUGUCUUCGCUUUGAAGACCCAUUUGCUUCCAAGCAGUUUCAUUCCUGGAACUACUGGAACUAGCUCCCAUGUUUUGUUCCUUUCUAAGGAAUCAAGCUCAGCCUUCAUGGCAUUUAACCAUGGCUCAGCUUCCUUUGAAUCCAAACCCUGGAUUUCUUGGAAACUUGAAGGUUCAAAUACCUUCUUGGAGCUUUUAACAGCUGUUACUGCUAUCUUAGCAAACUCAUCAGCAAAUCUCUUUGGAGGUUUGCCUUUUGUGGCUCUCUGUGACCUACGAAUUAGCCUUAAGUCUUCAACACUCUCCUCUUCCUUCUUAGGAGAAAAACGACCUAUUGUGAACAAUGGUUCCUCCAAUUCUUGAUCAGAGCUUUCAGAGGGUCGCAUAGAGGCUUUCGCACUCUUGAAAUCCUCUGAAUCACCCGAUUCAGUUUCAGAUUCAGACUCAGAACCUUCAUCAGUGGGUGUGGGCUGUUGUGGUUGCUUUUGACUAUCUUCAGUCUCAUCACCGUCAUCAGGAUAACAUUGGAAAAUUCCCACAUUCUCCCCCCACUUUGCAUUGUACUCAACACUUCUCGUGAGCUUAAUUGUCUUAGAGUCAGUCAUCAUUAUUCUGUAAGACCCUUUCUGAUAACCUAGAAAGAUACCAUGCAAUCCACGCUUGUCUAACUUGGAGUUUUGUGGUGAGCGAACCCACAUGUCAGAACCAAAAAUCUUCAUGUGUUUGAUGUAUGGCUUCUUGCCAAACAUCUUCUCAUAGGAGUACAACCAAUCGCUGAAGAUAACCUGCGAUUGUAACUGUAAACAAAACACGAGAGAGAUUCUGCCCAAUAACUCUCUGGAAGAUUGGCAUCAUGCAGCAAGGUUUUUAACCCUUGAAGCAAAGUCUGAUUUGCCCGUUCCGCAAGUCCAUUCUGCCAUGGCGAGCGAGGACUAGACAAAUCGUGUUGAAUUCCUUUCUCAGUCAGAAAAGCUUCAAACUGCUGAGAAGUGAAUUCCCCCCCGCGAUCACUGAAAAGAGUCUUUAUCUUCUUACCAUGCACAUUUUCCAACCAAGCACAGAAUUCCUUGAACCUAGGAAAAGCCUCCGAUUUCUGCUUGAGAUUGUACACAAAAAUAUAUCUAGAAAAUGCAUCAAUGAGAACCAUGAAGUAUCUAUUUCCACCCAAAGAGGGCGUUAGUGGUCCAACCAAAUCAGCAUGAACAACCUGGUAUGGUUCUGUAGCUUUCCUACUAGACACCUUACCUUUCGCAGCCAUUUCACCUUGUUUGCUGCGCAUGCUUUGCACUUCAUGUGGUACCUGCAGGGUUUAAUAGUCAUACCUUCAACCAAGGCAGGCAUUUUAGAUACUGCCUCAAAAUGCAAAUGACCAAAUUUUCGAUGAAAAUCGUGAAUACAUUCUGCAUGCAAACUUUUGUUAGAACCUGCAAUGCAACAAGUGUCAUCCUGCACCACAUCAUCAUAAUACAAAACAAACAAAUGAUCAACAUAUUCUGCAUGCAAUACAUAAUCAUUUUUCUUUGUGAUGAUGCACUUCUUGUUCUUGAAGGAAACGUCAAUGUUCCGCUCAUUCAGCUGUCCAACGCUGAGCAGAUUAUGUUUGGCGUCUGGCACGUAAAGCAC